AACCAUUCUCACCUGCGGCUAGACCUGCGGAAGGAUCAUUACCGAGUGCGGGUCCUCGUGGCCCAGCCUCCCACCCGUGACUAUUGUACCUUGUUGCUUCGGCGGGCCCGCCAGCCCUGCUGGCCGCCGGGGGGCGUCUCGCCCCCGGGCCCGUGCCCGCCGGAGACCCCAACAUGAACCCUGUUCUGAAAGCUUGCAGUCUGAGUGUGAUUCUUUGCAAUCAGUUAAAACUUUCAACAA
rnacentral:misc_RNA from 1 species